CAGAGUACAAGUUCCCAGGAGAGGGGCUGGGCCUCUCCAGGCAGGAACUGGAAUCAGAGGCUCCCCCUGCUACUCGCUGGGAGCGAAGAACAUUAGGAAUGACUUUCAACGCCAUAGUUCCUGUACUGUCUCACAGUAGCCACGCAGCUUGGGGACAAUCAAACUGCUGCUUAGCCUCACCUCAGCAGGAAUCCAGAUGCAGGCCAAGUACAGCAGCACGAGGGAUAUGCUGGAUGCUGAUGGGGACACCAUCAUGAGUGUGCAAUCUCGAGCCUCUUCUACAACCCAGCAGCCAGAGCUCAGGCACACAGGGCACCGGUCUCCCUCUUCAGUGUGGCGUCCAGUGGCCCUGACCUUGCUGUCUUUGUGUUUGGUGCUGCUGAUUGGCCUGUUAGCCCUGGGGCUUGUGUUUUUUCAGAUCUACCAGCUUUCCAAUACUCAGCAAGACAGCAUUUCUCACAAGGAAGAAAGAUUGGGGAAUCUCUCCCGACAGCUGCAAUCCCUCCAAACCAAGAACAGGAAGCUUGCAGAAAUCCUGCAGCGUGUGGCUGAAAAACUGUGUCGUGAACUCUAUAACAAAAGUGGAGAAAACAGAUGCAGCCCUUGUCCAGAAGAAUGGAAGUGGCAUGGGGACAAAUGCUACCGGUUCUAUAGAGAAAGCAAGAGUUGGCAAGGCUGUGAAUAUUUCUGCAUUGCUGAGAACGCGACCAUGCUGAAGAUAAACACACAAGAAGUGUUGGACUUUGCCAUGCCUCAGAGCUACUCUGAGUUUUUCUACUCUUAUUGGACAGGGCUAUCCCGCAACGGCAGUGGCAAGGCCUGGCUGUGGAUGGAUGGAGCCCCUUACUCCUCUGAACUGUUUGAGAUUAUAAUAGAUUUUACCAGUCUGAGAAACAGGGACUGUGUGACCAUCCUCAAUGGAAAAGCUUUCUCAAAGGACUGCAAAGAGUUGAGGCGGUGUGCAUGUGAAAGAAGGGCGGCCACAGUGAAGCCUGAGAGCCUCCAUUAGUUUCCCUGCACCAUUACAUGGAAGUGAUUGACUCUCCCAUCAUAAUUACAAUAUCAAGCUCUCUUCAGGGAGAUUGAAGAUCAGAACAGAAGUUAGUCUAUUUAUGUGUACCUGUACUAGUUUGGUUUCAGUUCCUAUCUUCUCUCAUAUGAUCCAUGUUUAUACAAAAAUUGAGCAAAAAGGUUGAGCCAAGCAAAGUCAAUGCAAAGGAUAUUUAAGCCAUUGGAAGAUGGGAGAAAAAUAGGAAAGGCAAUUUUUCUGACUGGUGGAGGAAGGAUUUUCAUGUUUCUUGUUCAGGAUCACCAGCAUUUCUGAGCUUCAUGCAUAUAUUUACCAGUCACAGAGAAGUCCUAUCUAUGUACCAACCAGUCCCAGAAUCUCAUAAAGUUGUCAUCCACCUUCUUGACUCAGAGAUAACUUUCCAGUGUUUUUCCUUCUUAGCAUCUAAUAUCAUCUCCCUAUUUCCAUGUCUUCCUUCAUAUUGAAGGAAGUGAGAAACUUACUGAAAUAGAGGAAAUAAAUGUGUGUGACAUCCUUUGUGGCUCAGUCAGUUUAGCAUCUGACUCUUGAUUUCAGCUCAGGUCAUGAUCUUAGGGUCCUGGAAUUGAGCCCUGCAUUGAGCUUUCUGCUGAGUGGAGCCUGCUUAAGAUUCUAUCUAUCCCCUCCUCUAUCCACCUUCCUCCAACUCACAACCUCAAUCUCUCUCUCUCUUUCUCUCAAAGAAACUCCAAUGAUUGUGUCCUCUCUCUAGGAAUUUCUUCCAGGAAAGAAAUAUUCUCAGCUCAGUUCCAUAUCCAAAUUACUGUCCUCGAUGCUCCUUCAGAAAGACUGAAGACGAGAGCAAAAGUCAGUCUCUUCAUGAAGGUCUAUAAUAAGUUUCAGCUCCUAUUCCAUCUGAUUCAUGUUUAUGCCUUCCAGUGAAGAAAUUGGAGAACAGGAGAUGCACUUGAAAGUGCCUGAGUGUUACUUCUUCAAAAAAGGCAUCCAGAUGGCCAACAGACACCUGAAAGGAUGCUCAACACCACUUAUCGUCAGGGAAAUGUAACCGAACCACAGUGAGAUAUCCCCUCAUACCUGUCAGAAUGGCUAAAAUAAAAAACUCAAGAAACAACAAGCAUUAGUGAGGAUGUGGAGAAAAAGGAAUCCCUGUGUGUAUUAUUGUUGGAAAGGCACACUAGUGCAGCCAUGUGGAAAACAGUAUAGCUGCCUGUCUUCCUUUUAAUUUGAAAAUCCAUCUCUCUGUCCUACCAUCCUACUGGUUUAAAAGAGAAAAUGCAUAGAAAUCUGGCAGGUAGAGACUUUAAAUAAAAGGCCACAUUUAUUUAUUUGUUUAUUUGUUUAAAAAAAUGGCUAGAAAUGUAUCAUCUCCCCAGUGGCUUAUAGAUUUUUGAGUGGAGUUUAUAGUCACUAUAGGCUAUAAAAUUUAAAAAGUACAAAGAAAUUAUUUUUCUUCAUUUUGUUCUCCCCUUUCAGGAUUUUGUCCUCUAUAGGCUAUAAAUUGAUUUUAUUCUUGGCAAAUUAAACAAUAUCAAAUAAAGGCCUGGAAAGUAUUGAAGAAAACUACCAAGUGUAAAUGUAGAGAUAGGUUUUGAGUCCCAGGUAGUGAGUUUAGUAGCCCACACAUAAGUUUACUUCUGCACUUGCUCUUAGAAUUUUGUGGCAGGUUUUCCAAUGGCCUAUUCAACAUACUAUCAUAAUAGAUCUCUUCAAGUACAAUUUUUUUUCAGUUAGAGGAUCUCAAUGCAUACUUCUCACAGAUAAAAUAUUUCCAAAUGCUGCAGUUAGCAGAAGAAAGGAACUUGUCCUUUAGAUAUCCACAGAGCUGGUUAGUUGAUUGCAAUGUCUGUACUGGCGACCUGGAGAAGCAAGUCAGUGGAUUUGACGUUAGGGUAACUGGUGAGAGGUGGGUAGCUUUUAUGUUUUGCUUUGUUUUAAUAUGGUACCCUCCUGUAGCACUCUCUUUCUUCAGUAAUAGAACUGUUUUCUCUCAAUAAAAAAUAUGUUAACAUAAUAUCAAAAAACCUUAUAAAAACAAAUACACAAAAAUAAGCUGUAAUGUAGGAUCUCUUUCCUGACUCUUAAUUCUCAGAAUACUAAAGCACCUAAUCCUGUUCACCAAUCUUCCUAGUUCUAUCUAAAAAAAUUAAUAGGGAAAAAUAAAUCAAAGUAAAAAGUUUAACAGGGAAAUCUCUUAAUAGUUCCUAUAACUUUUUUCUCCUAGCAUUCUCUAGCCAUUAAAUGAUAUACGUGAAAAUUAUAUUGUUCAUUCAGCAUCUCAAAUUUUGUUGUGAAUGUGCUAGAGCAUCAUGGCAGCAGGACCGAAAGGAGGAAGAUUUGGAAACCAUGAAGCUACUCUUAAAUUACCUCAGUUUUGAUUCCAAUCAAAAGCCUGUGGAAUGAUCAUGCUGGCUAUGUCUUCUGGAGAAUAUUUGAGGUGUAAAAUAAAAUGAACUUUGGAAUCCCCUCA